GUCUCUCGGGAAAUCCGGCGGCUUAACCGUCGGGCGUCCGAGAGAUACUGCUAGGCUUGGGACCGGGAGAGGCCGAGGGUACUCCCGGGGUAGGGGUGAAAUCCUGUAAUCCCGGGAGGACCACCGGUGGCGAAGGCGCUCGGCUGGAACGGGUCCGACGGUGAGGGACGAAGGCCAGGGGAGCGAACCGGAUUAGAUACCCGGGUAGUCCUGGCUGUAAACGAUGCGGGCUAGGUGUCGGGUGAGCUACGGGCUCAUCCGGUGCCGGAGGGAAGCCGUGAAGCCCGCCACCUGGGGAGUACGGCCGCAAGGCUGAAACUUAA
rnacentral:rRNA from 1 species